GAUGAACGCUAGCUACAGGCUUAACACAUGCAAGUCGAGGGGAAACGACAGAGAAAGCUUGCUUUUUCUAGGCGUCGACCGGCGCACGGGUGAGUAACGCGUAUCCAACCUGCCCAUCACUUGGGGAUAACCUUGCGAAAGUAAGACUAAUACCCAAUGAUAACUCUAGAAGACAUAUGAAGGAGAUUAAAGAAUUAUCGGUGAUGGAUGGGGAUGCGUCUGAGUAGCUUGUUGGCGGGGUAACGGCCCACCAAGGCGACGAUCAGUAGGGGUUCUGAGAGGAAGGUCCCCCACAUUGGAACUGAGACACGGUCCAAACUCCUACGGGAGGCAGCAGUGAGGAAUAUUGGUCAAUGGACGAGAGUCUGAACCAGCCAAGUAGCGUGCAGGAUGACGGCCCUAUGGGUUGUAAACUGCUUUUAUAAGGGAAUAAAGUGAGUCUCGUGAGACUUUUUGCAUGUACCUUAUGAAUAAGGACCGGCUAAUUCCGUGCCAGCAGCGCAGUAA
rnacentral:rRNA from 1 species